rnacentral:pre_miRNA from 1 species
AAUAGAUGACGCCAUUGACUUUUUCUCACAUGUUUGACCAUUUGUCUUAUUCAAAAAAUUUACGUAAUUAUAAUUUAUUUUGCUAUGAGUUGUUUUAUCACUCAUAGUACUUUAAGUGUGAUUUAUAUCUUAUACAUUUGUAUAAAAUUUUUGAAUAAAACGAAUGGUCAAACAUGUGAGAAAAAGUCAACAGCGUCAUCUAUU